rnacentral:lncRNA from 1 species
AAUAACAUAAUAGUAAUAUAAUAUUAGAAAAAUUGCAAACACACUCAUUCACCCUCAAAAGUUGUUUACGAUGAAUAUGAAUAAAAAAAUCUUCAAAUGAUGAAUAUAAAACCCUAACGUUCAAAUCAUGCAUGUGAACCCAGAAAUCUUCAUCUUUGUUGUCAUCUUCCACAACCCAAUAUGUUGUCAUCGCCCUGUGAUUGUCAUCAUCCAACAAUAUCUGCAAAUCAUCAUCAUUGUCACUGUCCCAAUCCUUGUUCCCGCCUCCUCCAUUGUAACCUUCAC